rnacentral:rRNA from 1 species
UACGAAGGGGGCUAGCGUUGUCCGGAAUUACUGGGCGUAAAGCGCGUGUAGGUGGUGGGACAAGUCUGCUGUGAAAGCGCCUGGCUUAACCGGGCGAGGUCGGCGGAAACUGUCCGACUAGAGGACGGUAGAGGGGGGUGGAAUUCCCGGUGUAGUGGUGAAAUGCGUAGAGAUCGGGAGGAACACCUGUGGCGAAGGCAGCCCCCUGGGCCUGUACUGACGCUGAGGAGCGAAAGCGUGGGGAGCGAACAGG